GAUGAACGCUGGCGGCGUGCCUAAUACAUGCAAGUCGAGCGCCCCUUUAAGAGGUGACAAAGAGAUUUGUCGGUUCCUAUGGGGAGCGGCGGACGGCUGAGUAACACGUGGGAACGUGCCCCAAAGUGAGGGAUAAGCACCGGAAACGGUGUCUAAUACCGCAUAUGAUCUUCGGAUUAAAGCUUUAUGCGCUUUGGGAGCGGCCUGCGUCCUAUUAGCUAGUUGGUAAGGUAACGGCCUACCAAGGCGACGAUGCGUAGCCGACCUGAGAGGGUGAUCGGCCACAUUGGGACUGAGACACGGCCCAGACUCCUACGGGAGGCAGCAGUGGGGAAUAUUGCACAAUGGGGGAAACCCUGAUGCAGCAACGCCGCGUGAGUGAUGAAGGCCUUCGGGUUGUAAAACUCUGUCUUCUCUGAAGAUAAUGACGGUAAGAGAAGAGGAAGCCACGGCUAACUACGUGCCAGCCGCCGCAGUAAGAC
rnacentral:rRNA from 1 species